rnacentral:rRNA from 1 species
GCAUAUCAAUAAGCGGAGGAAAAGAAACUAACAAGGAUUCCCCUAGUAACUGCGAGUGAAGCGGGAAAAGCUCAAAUUUAAAAUCUGGCGGUCUUUGGCCGUCCGAGUUGUAAUCUAGAGAAGUGUUACCCGCGUCGGACCGUGUACAAGUCUCCUGGAAUGGAGCGUCAUAGAGGGUGAGAAUCCCGUCUUUGACACGGACUACCGAGGCUUUGUGGUGCGCUCUCAAAGAGUCGAGUUGUUUGGGAAUGCAGCUCAAAAUGGGUGGUAAAUUCCAUCUAAAGCUAAAUAUUGGCGAGAGACCGAUAGCGAACAAGUACCGUGAGGGAAAGAUGAAAAGAACUUUGGAAAGAGAGUUAAACAGUACGUGAAAUUGCUGAAAGGGAAACGCUUGAAGUCAGUCGCGUCGUCCGGGAAUCAGCCUUCCUUCUGGUUGGUGUACUUCCUGGUCGACGGGCCAGCAUCAGUUUUGACCGGUGGAAAAAGUUCGAGGGAAUGUGGCACCUCCGGGUGUGUUAUAGCCCUCGUUCGUAUACAUCGGUUGGGACUGAGGAACUCAGCACGCCGCAAGGCCGGGAUUCGUCCACGUUCGUGCUUAGGAUGCUGGCAUAAUGGCUUUAAUCGACCCGUCUUGAAACACGGACCAAGGAGUCUAACAUGCCUGCGAGUGUUUGGGUGGAAAACCCGAGCGCGUAAUGAAAGUGAAAGUUGAGAUCCCUGUCAUGGGGAGCAUCGACGCCCGGACCUGACGUUCUCUGACGGUUCUGCGGUAGAGCAUGUAUGUUGGGACCCGAAAGAUGGUGAACUAUGCCUGAAUAGGGUGAAGCCAGAGGAAACUCUGGUGGAGGCUCGUAGCGAUUCUGACGUGCAAAUCGAUCGUCAAAUUUGGGUAUAGGGGCGAAAGACUAAUCGAACCAUCUAGUAGCUGGUUCCUGCCGA